rnacentral:lncRNA from 1 species
GGGAAACCCUUUUUUGGUAAAACUAUACCCAUGUAUACAAGCCACCUACCAAAAUCAUAUGUACUCGCUCUGAAAAUGAACCAACAUCCAACAUCUAUCCGAGGGUGGCCUUUAUACACCCAAUAUACAGAAACAUGAUAUCGCACACCCUUGGCUGAAAGGCAAGAUGAUGAACCUUGAAAAAAUCGUCAUGGCCAUGCAUUAAGAGCCAAAACUGCAGCAAGCGAUAGAUAUGCAUAGCACCCAAAUGGACAAACAUGUUGCUGCUUUCACCUGUUGCAGCCUACUCAUUUUCCACUCCCAGACCGACGCCUUCAUCAGGGGACCAGCGCAGUUGAAAGACGAGCUAAUUAUAUAUCCUCACCGGCUUCUCAUGCGUGUGACCGUUCUGCAUGUGUAUAAAACCAUCAAAAAAGGCAAGGAUAUAUAAGAUGCAUGUCCUUAUGAAAUAGAAUGAAUUGGGCGAGGCUUGCACGAAAUCACGCAAUAAUCAAGGAAGAUCUGCUACCAAGCAGGCCCAGCCCUUAAAAAAAAGGUUUUCAUUCCGCUUUAUAUAUAAAGCAAUAAAGCAACGACCAAUCACAUCUUAAAUACAAACGCACGUCACCACAACACAUGCACACAUCCAAGGCCGGAAACAUAAGCGCUAAGCGCAGCAACACUGCCUCUAGUACUACAAGAGCAACUGGAGUUCUCUGUUAGAGUUAUAAUAUAAAUCAUGUACCCUUUUGUAUUUAUUCCAAUAUAUAAGGGAUUUUCUGCAUAUAGUCCACCACCUGUACAUGUAUAUAUACCGGCCUAUGGCCUUAUGAAAUACAAGAUGCUUAUUUCUAACAUGAUAUUAGAGCUAGGUUAACUUUUGCACGCCGCAACUCGUGUUGUUGAUCCGCUCAAGCCGCCGCUCUCUGUUCCCGUCAGUAAGCGCCUGCCUCGUCGCCAGCUCCCGUUGCUCCCGCUCGGACGGAUCCCGUUCCAGCACCUGCCUCGUCGUUUCUCCCGUGAUCCAGGACGGCUCCCGCUCCGGCUCGGAUCGAUCCAGACGGGAUCGAAUCCGCCUCUUUCUUCCACUCCGGCUCUGGAUCGAUCCAGGAUGGCUCCCUCCUGCUACAGAUACGCUGCGCUCCCUCCUGCUACACUACAAAUACAGGAUGUUCUGCCCGAUCCAGGACACUAGCUACAGAUACGGGAUCCUCUGCCCGAUCCAGGACGGCUCCCUCCUGAUACGGGAUCCUCUGCCCGAUCCAGGACGUCUCCCUCCUGCUACAGAUACGGGAUUCUCUACAGAUCGAUCCAGGACGGCUCGAUCCAGCUCUUCUCUCGCCCGCCCCCAACGCUUUUCCCGCUGCUGCUGCUUCCCAAGCGCCUCUGCUCGAGGACUCUGAUCUGCAGCUGCCCUUAUUCUUAAAAAAAAUGUCUACUGCUUCGGGCUAUGUUGCUGUCCCUCGAUGUACGGUGAUCUUCGAUGGCACUAACUACACCGAGUUCAUUGGCUUCAUGCGCAUUCAUAUGCAUGGCAUUCGUCUCUAGGGAGUUCUUUCUGUCGAGGUCUUUUGUCCGCCACGUCCGGUUCCUCCUGUGGCUCCCACUCCUCCGACUCCACCGGUUCUUUCCGCGGAUGCUUCUCAGGCUGCGAAGGAUGCGGCUAAGGUUGCUGAGGAGGCUGCUAUUCGUGCUUAUGAUGAGAAGGUUUUGACUUAUGAGGAGGCUCUUCAGGUGUAUCAUGGUGCUCUGUCUGUUUACACCCAGUGGCUUGAUGAUGAUGCCCGUGCUGCAGCUGUUCUCACUGCCAGUGUUCUGCCUCAGUUUGCCUCUGAGUUUCUGGGCCUUCCUACUGUCUUUGAGAUGUGGAUUCGCCUUCGUCAACGCUAUGACCCCUCUGCUGAUGCCUUAUACCUCUCUGUGGUUCGUCAGAAGCAUGCUCUUCAGCAGAGUGACUCUACUGUUGAUGACUUCUAUGCACAGAGUUUUGCUAUCUGGCGCCAGCUUGAUUCUCUCCGCAGUGCUGGUUGUCGUAGUUGUCACUGUUGCCAGGCUGUCCAGACCGAUUUGAAGUUUCAUCGCGUCUACGAGUUCCUGUCUAGGCUCCGUAAGGAGUUUGAGCCUCGGUGUGCUCAGUUGUUUGCUCGUGGCCGUAUUUCUCUCAUGGAGGCGCUUUCUGAGAUUCGUGCUGAGAAGACUCGCUUACGUGGUGCUGGUUUGCUGGAGGUUCCCUCGGUGCUUGCUGCUCGGACUCUUUCUACGCCACCUGCUGCACCGACCCCUUCUCGCUCGAGUGCUCCGCCGCUCUUGCCCACUCCUUCUGUCAGCUCAGGUCGCCCCCGUUCACAUUGUGGCUACUGCAACAAUGAUGGUCAUAUUGAGUCCAACUGCUACACGCAGAAGAAACACUUGCGCAAGGCGCGAUCAUCAUCUACAGCGACUUCGUCAUCUACCUCGACAGCUUCAGCCAUCGCUUUGACUGAGCAGGAUAUUCUGAGACUUAAGCGUCUGCUCGCUGCUUCAGGUUCUUCCUCGACGGGUACUGCUGGUACUGUGACUGAGGCUUCCCGCACUGAGCAACCACCUACUACACGGUCAGGUACAUCCCCAUGGGUUCUGGACUCUGGAGCUUCCUUUCAUAUGACUUCUAAUUCUUCCGCUCUGUCCUCUCUUCGAUCGCUUGAUUCUCCUGUUCAUGUCCUCACCGCUGAUGGUAUUCCCCUUCCUGUCGUUAAUAAAGGCACUCUUACAACUCCUUAUUCUGUUCCUGAUGUUGCUCAUGUUCCUUGACUUACCAUGAAUCUGUUUUCCGUUGGUCAACUUGUUGAUUCUGGUUGUGGUGUCAUCCUUGACCUUGACUCUUGUUCUGUCCAUGACCGUCGCACGCACACUCUGGUUGGGGCUGGUCCUCGCCGCCGUGAUUCCGAGGGUCUUCCGGAGUUGGACUGGCUUCAUGUUCCUUCCGCUGCCCACUCUAUCGCCAGUUCUUCCGCUUUGGUCGCCUCGGCUACUGUUUACUUCCAGCAGUGGCAUCAUCGACUUGGUCAUCUGUGUGGUUCUCGUUUGUCGUCGUUAGUUCGUCGAGGUCUUCUGGGGUCUGUCUCACGAGAUGCCUCUUUAGAGUGUCAGGAUUGUCGUCUUGGCAAGCAGAUUCAGUUACCAUAUCCACAUAGUGAGUUAGUGUCUAAGCGUCCUUUUGAUUUAGUUCGUUCCGAUGUAUGGGGUCCGGCUCCCUUCGCUUCGAAAGGGGGUCAUAAAUACUAUAUUAUUUUCAUAGAUGACUUCUCUCGUUACACAUGGCUUUAUUUUACGACUUCUCGUAGUGAGGUGUUGUCCAUUUAUAAGCGUUUUGCUGCCAUGGUUCAUACUCAGUUCUCUUCUCCCAUUCGUGUGUUCCAUGCUGACUCCGCAGUCGAGUAUAUCUCCAAGAUGUUGCGUGGUGUUCUUGCUGAGCAAGGGACUCUCUCUCAAUUCUCUUGUCCUGGUGCUCACGCUCAGAAUGGCAUGGUUGAACGCAACCAUCGUCAUCUUCUUGAGACGGCUCGUGCAUUGAUGAUUGCUGCCUCUCUCCCGCCUCAUUUUUGGGCUGAGGCCGUCUCCACCUCCACCUAUCUCAUCAAUUUCUAGCCUUCCGCUGCUCUACAGGGUGGUGUUCCUUUCGAGCGUCUUUUUGAUCGUUCUCCCGAUUAUUCGAUGCUUCGCUUGUUUGGUUGUGUUUGCUAUGUUCUUCUUGCCCUCCGCGAAUGCACCAAACUGAUCGCUCAGUCUGUUGAGUGUGUCUUCUUAGGCUAUAGUGAUGAGCAUAAGGGCUAUCGUUGUUGGGAUGCUAUCGGUCGUCGGAUGCAUAUCUCUCGGGAUGUGACUUUCGAUGAGUCUCGUCCCUUCUAUCCACGCCCAUCUUCCUCGACCUUUUCAGUGGAGGAUAUCUCUUUCCUCACUUAUCCUGACGCACCUAUCACACCCGCCGAGCCUUUGCCUGUUCGUUCCGCUCCCUCUGCUUCUCCACCUCCAGUCGAUUUGUCGCCACCAUCUUCCACGGUCUCCUCGUCUAGCAUGUCACCGGAUUCUACACCUUCAUCUCCGAUGACUUCUUCGUCGCCACUCCCCGAUUCUACCUUGGCGAUUCCUCCUUCCAUUGUUCCAUCUUUUCCUCAGUGUUACACUCGUCGUUUACGUUCUGUGGAUGCCUCUGUGGAUGUGUCGUCAUCCUCGUCUCAGCCUACUUAUGGCUUGCGUUCUCGUCCUCGUUCGCCUGUUGAUCGCUUUGGAUUUUCCACCGUUGGUGUCGUUGUUCUUGAGCCGACUACUUAUCAUCAGGCCGUUGUUCAUCCUGAAUGGCAGUUUGCGAUGGCAGAGGAGAUUGCUUCUCUUGAACGCACUGGUACGUGGGAUCUUGUUUCCCUUCCUCCCGGAGUUCUUCCCAUCACUUGUAAUUGGGUCUACAAGGUUAAGACUCGCUCCGAUGGUUCUCUUGAGCGUCACAAAGCUCGUCUUGUGGCUCGUGGUUUUUAACAGGAGCAUGGUCUUGAUUAUGACGAGACUUUUGCUCCUGUGGCUCAUAUGACCACUCUUCGUACACUUCUUGUCGUGGCCUCUACACGCCACUUGUCUAUCUCUCAACUUGAUGUUAAGAAUGCUUUUCUUAAUGGUGAGCUGCGUGAGGUGUACAUGCAGCCACCACCUGGGUAUUCUGUUCCUGAUGGCAUGGUAUGUCGUCUUCGUCGCUCUCUCUAUGGCCUUAAGCAAGCCCCCCGCGCCUGGUUUGAGCGUUUUGCCUCUGUGGUGACUGUCGCUGGUUUUUCACCCGGUGUUCAUGAUCCAGCAUUGCUUAUUCACAUUUCUCCUCGUGGUGGGACUCUUCUUCUUCUCUAUGUUGAUGACAUGGUCAUCACUAGGGAUGAACCCGAGUAUAUUGCCUUUGUUAAGGCCCGUCUUAGUGAGCAGUUCCUUAUGUCUGAUCUUGGACCUCUUCGCUACUUUCUUGGGAUUGAAGUUUCUUCUACCUCUGAUGGCUUCUUUAUAUCCCAGGAAAAGUAUAUCCAGGAUCUUCUUGCUCGUGCUGCUCUUACUGAUGAGCGCAUUGUUGAGACUCCCAUGGAGCUCAAUAUUCACCUCCGUACUACUGAUGGUGAUCCCUUGCCUGACCCGACGCGUUAUCGUCAUCUUGUUGGCAGUCUUGUUUACCUAGCCGUCACUCGUUCGGAUAUCUCUUAUCCGGUUCGUAUUCUGAGUCAGUUCGUCUCUGGUCCCACAACGGUUCACUAUAGUCAUCUCCUCCGUGUUCUCCGAUAUCUUCGGGGCACGAUCUCUCACCGUCUAUUCUUUCCUCGCUCCAGUUCUUUACAGCUUCAUGCCUAUUCUGAUGCUACGUGGGCUAGUGAUCCUUCAGAUCGCCGUUCACUUUCUGCUUACUGUGUUUUUCUUGGUGGUUCUCUCAUUGCCUGGAAGACGAAGAAACAGAUUGCAGUUUCCCGUUCGAGUGCAGAGGCUGAGUUGCGAGCGAUGGCUCUUUUGACGGCAGAGGUGACUUGGUUACGAUGGUUACUUCAGGAUUUUGGUGUUUCUGUCACUACACCGACUCUGCUCUUAUCUGACAGUACAGGUGCUAUUAGCAUUGCGCGCGACCCUGUGAAGCAUGAGCUCACCAAGCAUAUUGGCAUUGAUGCUUUCUAUGUGUGCGUCGCUGUGCAGGAUCAGGUUAUUGGUCUUCAGUAUGUGUCUUCCAAGUUACAGUUGGCGGAUUUCCUGACGAAGGCCUAGACUAGAGCACAACAUGGCUUUUAUCUCUCCAAACUCAGUGUUGUUCAUCCACCAUGAGUUUGAGGGGGGGUGUUAAGUUAUAAUAUAAGUCAUUUACCCUUUUGUAUUUAUCCCAAUAUAUAAGGGGUUUCGUGCAUAUAGUCCACCACAUGUACAUGUAUAUAUACCGGCCUAUGGCCUCAUGGAAUACAAGUUGCUUAUUCCUAAAAUUCUCAACCAUGAACAUGCCAACGCAAAGAGAUUAAGCCGCAUACGACGAACCGUGUGCUUCAAGGCGGGCAUUGAAAGCCGCGACGACGCCUUCAAGAAGGAGCUACGCCGCUACCGGUCCGUCCAAAGAUAGAUCAGGCUUUCACCCCGGCCGACAUUCACCACCACCGAACGCCACAACCCGACGACCACACCGUCCACAUGGCCAUGGGCACCAAGCAACACCUAGCCACAGGCUUUGCCCAUGAGCACCACGGCACCACCACCAGGGCCGCCGCCCCGGCAUCCUAGACUUGGACAUCGCCUCACCCGAGACCCACUGCUACCCCCAACCAAAGAUAUGAGCGGAAAGGACCCGCCUUUUGCACCCCUGGGUUGUCCCCAACGCCGAAACCCAAUAGGCCGGCCAAAACUGGCAUCCAUCGACCCGUCCAGCAGCACCGGGCACGAGACAAGCACGGUCCUGCUACCAGGCGCAAGACGAGGUUGGUCCUGCCGCCGACGCGAGACGAGGUCGGUCCUACUGCCGGGCGCAAGACGAGCGAUGGACCGUAGUUAGGGGAGGACCGAACCUACGACGAAGGUAGCAACCAGACGACGAGGAGAGGGACCGAAGGUCGAAACAGGCCGCCUACAGACGAGCCGACAACGGAAAGCCAGCCGCCGCCCCAGCCGCCCGGCGAGCUGUCGUGAUGCCGACAUGGCGAGGAAGCCUCCACAAGAGCCGAGCCAUCAUGCCGCCACCGCCCACAACCGGAGCAAUAGCCACGCCGGACCGGUGCCCCAAUCCGCGUUGCCAGCCCACCAAGCGUCGGUAAAGCGGACGUGCACCACCACCACCACAACCCUAGCGCCACCACGCCUUGGACAGGUCCAGCCGGAGCCUCACCACCCCACUGGAGCAGGCGGACACCAACUGCAGCGCACCACCUAAACAAGGCCGCCAGCCACCCCUUCCACCGCCAACCACCACACCGUCUAGAUCUGGGCAGGGGGACAAAUCCACCGCCAACACGUCCUAGGACGCCUCCGGACCACGAGUCCCGUCGAAAAGGGAGGAGGCGGCACCGCCGGCCAUCAGAACACCAGGAGGAUGUGGGAGGCGAAGCAGGACCGGACCGAUGGCCGGCACCAUCGAGUAGAGGAGGGGCGCCCCGCGACGGCCACCAUCUGCGCGCGGAAGGAAGCGGCCCCGCCGCCGCCAGCGCCACACAACCUUAGGCCGACGACGUCCCCGACGGCGGCUAGGGAGGGGGGCGGGAGGAGGCAGCAC